CCUACGUGUGACAGCAGUGAGGAAUAUUGGUCCAUGGGCGCGCGCCUGAACCAGCCAAAUAGCGUGAAGGAUGACUGCCCUACGGGUUGUAAACUUCUUUUAUAAAGGAAUAAAGUGAGGCACGUGUGCCUUUUUGUCUGUACUUUAUGAAUAAGGAUCGGCUAACUCCGUGCCAGCAGCAGCGGUAAUACAGAGGAUCCGAGCGUUAUCCGGAUUUAUUGGGUUUAAAGGGAGCGUAGAUGGGUUGUUAAGUCAGUUGUGAAAGUUUGCGGCUCAACCGUAAAAUUGCAAUUGAUACUGGCAGUCUUGAGUACAGUUGAGGUAGGCUGAAUUCGUGGUGUAGCGGUGAAAUGCUUAGAUAUCACGAAGAACUCCGAUUGCGAAGGCAGCUUACUAAACUGCCACUGACAUUGAUGCUCGAAAGUGUGGGUAUCAAACAGGAUUAGAUACCCUAGUAGUC
rnacentral:rRNA from 1 species